rnacentral:rRNA from 1 species
GAUGAACGCUGGCGGCGUGCUUAACACAUGCAAGUCGAGCGAAGCAAUUUUAAGGAAGUCUUCGGAUGGAAUUGGAAUUGACUGAGCGGCGACGGGUGAGUAACGCGUGGUAACCUGCCUCAUACAGGGGGAUAACAGAGAGAAAUUUCUGCUAAUACCGCAUAAGCGCACAGCAUCGCAUGAUGCAGUGUGAAAAACUCCGGUGGUAUGGGAUGGAUCCGCGUCUGAUUAGCUAGUUGGUAAGGUAACGGCUUACCAAGGCAACGAUCAGUAGCCGACCUGAGAGGGUGACCGGCCACAUUGGGACUGAGACACGGCCCAA